rnacentral:misc_RNA from 1 species
UUUAUUUUUUGUACUAAAAACUCAGACAACAAAAUAUAUUCAGAGUUUUAAAUUUCCUCUGGCGGGAGUGGAAAAAGCUUAGAGAAAUAGCUUACUCCCCGCCAAAGCAACAAGGUCAAGUACAACAAAGGGUUGGAAGUUUACCCCCCCAAAAAAAGAGGGCAUAACUCUCUAUUAAUGAUCCUUCCGCAGGUUCACCUACGGAAA